CUGAGAUUUCAUAAUAAUGAACAAGUCAAACACAGUGCUGUGGUAGAUAUAAUAUUAAUGUGUAUCAAGGACAAAUGAGGGAUGGGAAAGAUCGGCAGUCAGUGAUAAAGUUUCCCUUCACUGGAACCAAGAAGCCCAAAUCUGUUCCAGCAUGACAAUGUCCCAGUGCACAAACUGAGGUCCAUUAUGGCAUGGUUUUCCAAGGUUGGAGUGGAAGAUCUUGAGUGGCCUGUACAGAGCCCUGACCUCAACCCCACUGAACACCUUUGAGAUGAACUGGAAAGCAGACUGCGCCCAGGCGCUCCUCGCCCAACAUCAGUGCCUGACCUCACUAAUGCUCUUGUGGCUGAAUUAACACAAAUCCCCACAGCCACACUCCAAAAUCUAGAGGAAAGCCUUCGCAGAAGAGUGGAGGUUAUUAUAACAGUAAAGGGAGAUUAAAUCUGGAAUGGCAUGUUCAACAAACACAUAUGGCUGUGAUUGUCAGGUGUCCACAUACUUUUAGCCAUAUAGUGUACAUUUUUAUGAGAGCCAGGUAAGGUAAUGUUUUGGAUGAAGCACCUUCACAGAAAUGUAUGUCAUGACAAUCCUUGGUAAUGCUAACUCUAAUUGAAAUACAAUGUAGAAAACAAAACUAUCACCUCUGGUCGCCUCAGAUGUAUGUAUUUUUACUACCCUAAUUUAAUAUCUAAUCUGUCUAUUAGAAUAAUGAUACAAAUUCCAGAAUCAGUCGACCAUCAUCCAUCAUUCACUAGCGUUUCACCAAAUUAGGGAACAAAUAAAUUCUUACCUGUUCAGCAAUAAAAAACUGUUACCUGUUUAGAAAGAAAAAAAAAACUAAAACUCUAUCAGUCCUGAAUCUUUUUUCCACUUAUAGUAUUACAUUUACUCACUCUGAUUAUUGUUUGUAAAUUUUUUACUCUUUCUCACCUGAUUGGAUGCUGACUCCCACCUAUCAUUCUGUAGUCACACUUCUUUCAUGCCUAAAGUGGGGAAUAAUUUGGGCUUGGGCCCGUUAAAGUAUUUGCUUCAUGACAAUUUGGCCUAGGUUAAAUCCAAUUCAUUACCCUGGCACUACAACUAAAGGAUCAGCAUUGCAUCUCACUUUCAAUAAUUGCUGAUUUAACUGAAUUAGACUAAGCAAGCUUUGAUUCAUUUGAUUCACGACUCAGGAUGGAAUCCAAAUCAUACGUUGUUCAUGCUUCAUGGUUUCAUACUACUGCUUUCCAUGCAAAACAAAAAAAAUUUAAAGAAAUAACACUGGUUUAUGUGAUGAAAGGCACACAAACCAAAUUUACAAUUUAUUUGCAAUUUUGUUUGCCAACCACCCAAGAGUCAAGAAUUAGAUUCAAUGAACUAGCACUGUAAAAGGAUAAAUGGGAGUAUCAGAAGUGAAUCAAGAAUCUUGACAUCAUUUGUUAGCACAUUUGUUCAUAACCCAAAACUCAUGUUUCAUUGUAUAAUAAAAAAAAAAAAAAAAAACACUUUUCAAUUUGCUCGUA